AGUGAACGCUGGCGGUAGGCCUAACACAUGCAAGUCGAACGGCAGCACAGUAAGAGCUUGCUCUUACGGGUGGCGAGUGGCGGACGGGUGAGGAAUACAUCGGAAUCUACUUUUUCGUGGGGGAUAACGUAGGGAAACUUACGCUAAUACCGCAUACGACCUACGGGUGAAAGCAGGGGAUCUUCGGACCUUGCGCGAUUGAAUGAGCCGAUGUCGGAUUAGCUAGUUGGCGGGGUAAAGGCCCACCAAGGCGACGAUCCGUAGCUGGUCUGAGAGGAUGAUCAGCCACACUGGAACUGAGGCACGGUCCAGACUCCUACGGGAGGCAGCAGUGGGGAAUAUUGGACAAUGGGCGCAAGCCUGAUCCAGCCAUACCGCGUGGGUGAAGAAGGCCUUCGGGUUGUAAAGCCCUUUUGUUGGGAAAGAAAAGCAGCAGGUUGAUACCCCGCUGUUCUGACGGUACCCAAAGAAUAAGCACCGGCUAACUUCGUG
rnacentral:rRNA from 1 species